CCCUUAGAUGUUCUGGGCCGCACGCGCGCUACACUGAUGCAUUCAACGAGUCUAAAACCUGGUCUGAUAGGGCUGGGUAAUCUUUUGAAUGUGUAUCGUGAUUGGGAUAGAUGAUUGCAAUUCUUCAUCUUCAACGAGGAAUGCCUAGUAAACGCAAGUCAUCAGCUUGCAUUGAUUACGUCCCUGCCCUUUGUACACACCGCCCGUCGCUCCUACCGAUUGAAUGUUCCGAUGAAUACCAUGGACUGAGAGUAUGAAUGGGUUCGCCUAUUUCUGCUUCUCGGGAAGUGGAGUAAAUCUUAACAUUUAGAGGAAGGAGAAGUCGUAACA
rnacentral:rRNA from 1 species